rnacentral:misc_RNA from 1 species
UCAAACUUGGUCAUUUAGAGGAAGUAAAAGUCGUAACAAGGUUUCCGUAGGUGAACCUGCGGAAGGAUCAUCAUUGAAAUCCAUUUUCUACUCACCCGUGUGAACUGUAUAUGAAUCAGGUAUUUGGCAGGGCUGCGCGCUUGGCGACAGGUUGGGCGAAUAGCCCACCGUUUGCAGACGCUGCACAUCGAGACUCAGUCCCGGUACCCUGCCAAAUGCCCAAUUUUAAAACAAACUCGUGAACACUGCUAUCUAAAUUUCUUUAAAAAUAAUCUUAAACAACUUUCAACAAUGGAUCUCUUGGCUCUCGCAUCGAUGAAGAACGCAGC